UACGAAGGGGGCUAGCGUUGCUCGGAAUCACUGGGCGUAAAGCGCACGUAGGCGGAUUGUUAAGUCAGGGGUGAAAUCCUGGAGCUCAACUCCAGAACUGCCUUUGAUACUGGCGAUCUUGAGUCCGGGAGAGGUGAGUGGAACUGCGAGUGUAGAGGUGAAAUUCGUAGAUAUUCGCAAGAACACCAGUGGCGAAGGCGGGUCUCUGAGCCGAUACUGACGCUGAGGAGCGAAAGCGUGGGGAGCGAACAGG
rnacentral:rRNA from 1 species